GAUGAAGAACGCAGCGAAACGCGAUAGGUAAUGUGAAUUGCAGAAUUCAGUGAAUCAUCGAAUCUUUGAACGCACAUUGCGGCCAUAGGUAUUCCUUUGGCCAUGCCUGUUCGAGCGUCAUUUACACCCUCAAGCCUAGCUUGGUGUUGGGCGUCUGUCCCGCCGUUCUCGCGCGCGGACUCGCCUCAAAGUCAUUGGCGGCGGUCGUGCCGGCCCCCUCGCGCAGCACAUUUGCGCUUCUCGGAGGCCCGGCGGAUCCGCGCUCCAGCAAGACCUUUCACGACUUGACCUCGGAUCAGGUAGGGAUACCCGCUGAACUUAAGCAUAUCAAUAAGCGGAGGA
rnacentral:misc_RNA from 1 species